rnacentral:rRNA from 1 species
UUCCGGUUGAUCCCGCCGGAGGUCACUGUUAUCAGGGUUCGACUAAGCCAUGCGAGGCGUGAGUCAUCUGGACUCGCCGAACUGCUCAGUAACACGUAGCUAACCUGCCCUCAAGUGGAGGAUAAUCCCGGAAAACUGGGGCUAAUACUCCAUAGCUGUUAAGUGCUGGAAUGCUUUAACAGCAAAAGCUCCGGCGCUUGAGGAUGGGGCUGCGGCCUAUCAUAGCUGUUGUGAGUAUAAAAUACUCACAAACUUAUAACGGGUAGGGGCCAUGAGAGUGGAAGCCUCGAGAUGCCUUCUGAAACAUGAAGGCAGGUCCUACGGGACGCAGCAGGCACGAAAACUUUCCAAUGCCUUAACGGGUGAGAAGGGAACCCUGAGUGGUUAUACAUUGUAUAACCUUUUGUUUUGCCUAAAAAGCAAGACGAAUAAGUGGUGGGUAAGACGGGUGGCAGCCGCCGCGGUAAUACCCGCGCCACGAAUGGUGACCACGAUUAUUGGGUCUAAAGCGUCCGUAGCCGGUUUAGUAAGUUCUUGGUGAAAUCUAUUAGCUAACUAAUAGGCUUGCUGAGAAUACUGCUAAACUUGGGAUCGGGAGAGGGUAGAGGUAUUCCAUGAGUAGGGGUUAAAUCCUUUAAUCCAUGGAGGACCACCGGUGGCGAAGGCGUCUACCUAGAACGAAUCCGACGGUGAGGGACGAAAGCUAGGGGAGCAAACGGGAUUAGAUACCCCGGUAGUCCUAGCUGUAAACGAUGCCCGCUUGAUGUUGCAAGCUCUACGGGAGCUUGCAGUGUUGGAGUGUAGAUGUUAAGCGGGCCACCUGGGGAGUACGGCCGCAAGGCUGAAACUUAAGGGAAUUGGCGGGAGAGCACACAAGAGGUGGAGACUGCCGUUUAAUUGGAUUCAACGCCGA